CAGUUUCCACAAAUGGAAUUUGAGGAAUUCUUUUCAAAUUUAAGGCAUUGCUUUCUGUUCUUGAAAGAGAUCCAGAUGGAGGCACAUGAGAUUCGGAAUAUUUUCCAUUCUCACCCUCUAAUGCUUGGUUCAUGUAGAUUGAAGAAACCUAACACAUUGCGUUUAGCCUUACAUGCUGCGGAUAAGAGAAUGUGUGAAGUCAUCCAAGAGAGCCCACAAGUUUUGAAGAAAUGGGUGAUGGGAUCAAAAGUUGAACGAUUGCAAAACUUGAUACUAAAAUCACGGAUGCAGAAGACCAAGUUCUUGUUGGACUUGGGAAUUGUAGAUGACUCAAAUGAAAUAGGAAAAGCACUUAAGGUUUUCCGGGGCAGUGGAGCAAAGAUCCAAGAGAGGUUUGAUUGUAUUGUGGAAGCUGGUUUGAGCAGAAAAGAUGUUUGUGAAAUGAUAAAAGCAUCUCCUCAAAUUCUUAACCAAACGAAAGAUGUUCUUGAGAUGAAGAUUGAUUUUCUUGUAAAUAAGGUGGGUUAUCCAGUAUCAUAUUUAGUCACUUUCCCAUCCUAUCUUAAUUACACAAUGGAAAGAGUGGAGCUUAGGUUAGCAAUGUAUAAUUGGCUCAAAGAUCAAGGAAAAUCUGUGCCCAUGCUUUCCUUGAGCACUGUAAUUUCUCUCUCAGAUAAAAAGUUCAUUAAUGAGUAUGUAAAUAGUCAUCGUAGAGGCCCUGAAAUUUGGCAGAAUUUGAAGAAAGAAAUUUAUGCUGAAUAAAAAGCCACUAGCUGGACCUAGCUUGCACUUCUUUUGUUCUGUCCAUUGACAGGGAAGUUGCGAAGAUCUUUGAUUUUGUAACUUCUAUCUUUGAUUUUGUUACUUCUACUGGCAGAAAAAUUUCCGUCUAUCUUUGAUUGAGGUGUCGGACUGAUCAACAACAAGGGGAAUUAAUCUUUGCAUAGAUUAAAAAAAAAAGAGAAAAAAAAGGUUAUGUUAUGCUCUAACAUAGUAAUAUUUGUUAGUUUAAAUAUUUGUAAACACCCAUAGUUUAUUUAUUUUAAUGAUAACAACUAUUAGUGGAUUUAAUAUGCAUAUCAAAAGUUUUAAUAUUGUAAAAUGUUUUUCACAUCAAUCUGAUACAAUAUUGACCCUUGGAUGCAAAUAUGACUUGAAGAUGUCUAAGCUAAUAUAAUCUAAGUUUUUAUAUAAUUUAAUUUGGCAUUGCAAAAAUAAAUUUUAUUCUAAAUUAUUUUCAUUUGUGGAAUUUUACCAUCCAAAAUAUUUUUAUUGCCUAAACAUUUACAUAGUGAAAAAUACAGUGAGAAAAAUUAUUUAAUCAAAUAUAUUUUUUUAUUAUCAAUCAAUUCAUUAUAAAUGAAAAACAUGAAUUGUAUCACAUGUGCUCUUGCACUUUUAAUCACCAAAAAGCUUUUUAUCCAUUUUUACCUAAAAAGAAUUGUUUACGAGAGCUCUAUCUAAAUUUGUUUUGUGUUUCGUUUAUAAACCUGGUAAUGAUUCGAAAAUCAGAUUUGUCUUGUACAAUUGCACUUGCGAAGGUCAGCCCUUAUCAUGCUUGAGUGUCGCGGGCUGGCAACUCUUUAGCUGAAACUAAAAAUGUGAUUGCAAGUAAAGAAAGAAUCAGGAGCCACUCUGUGUGGUCGGUCCGCAAUGAUUGCUUGCAGCGGCGGGAGGGCUCGCUGAUGGGGGCCUCAAGGAUGUUGUUGAGAAUGUAGGACCAUUGAUAGAAACAUAUAAUACCAGUUAGUUGAUGAUAGGAAGCUAGUCUUGCAAGAAAUUCUUGGGUUGCGGUCGUUAAAAAGUGUUUUUCAAAAAAAAAAUUUAUUUAUUUAUUUUACUUUUAAAUUAAUAUAUUUUUGUGUUGUUUGAUGAUUUUAAAAAUAAUUGAUGUUAAAAAUAAUUUUUUAAAAAUAAAAAAUAUAUAUAUUAUUUUAAUACAUUUUUAUUAACUACCGAUAGAUUUCAUAUAUUUUUGAUAUUGUUAUUAUUUUUACUAUUGCGGAUUAAAAAAAUAAGGUUAUAAAAAACACUUUUAAUUGUGAUUUUUUAUUUAUAAAAAUAGGUUUAAAAAAUAUGUGUGUUCGUUAAAACUAUAGUUUUAUGAAUUUUUAUAUGCAAAAUAAAUAAGAAAAUAUCUUCAUAAAAAAAAACAUGUUAUUUUAGUUUUUAUAAAACCAAAAAUUGAAAUAAAUUUAUGUAUUAAUACUAUUUAGUUAAUCAAAUGGUUUUUAUAUAUGAUUAGACAAAACACAGGAGGUACACAAUACCAAAUAUUCUUUUCAUAUAUCUUAUAUGAGUUCUACAGUUUGAUUUAACAAGAAUAAUAAGAAGGGACAUUAAGCUAGCAUUAAAAUUAUAUUGUACCAAAGUGUAAACAACUGAUGGAUCAGAGACCCAAGAAAUUCCUGCUCCUUUACACAAAUGCCUUAGAAUGGCAGGAAAAUCCUUUCUUCUUUCAUUUUUUUUGCUCAGCUGAAAAUUAAACAGAAGAACUAAACAAUAAGAAACACAAUGCCCAUAGAAUCAGCUAGCAAGAGGCUACUUAGUCCAUCUGGAGGCUACUCCCAUAUAGAAACUUUACUCAAUCUUUUUGGCUGAAUUAUUAGCCAAAUAAUCAGCACAUGAGUUUGCUUCCCUAAGUGAAUAGAGAAUAUCAAUCUCCCAAUGUCCCUUCAACAUCUCCCUAAUAUCCAUGAUGAGAGAACUAAACUUAUAAAAAAGAGAUACAUCAUCACGCAUGAGUCCGACGGCAUCCAUCGAGCGAGAGUUACGAAGUACUUUCCUCUCUGUUUCUUUUCUUCUUUUUUUGGCCUUUCAAGAUUAGAAAUCUUAAAGUCAUGGAGUAAAGUGUAAUAAGUAGAAAGUCUGAGGAUGCCACUAUAGCUUAGUUUUAUGCUAUUGAGGCAAAAAUAGCCUCUCUCCGAUCCCUAUUUAGCUUUCAUCCUUCAUAAACCCGUGAGGAGUGAGACUAGCCGCUCAGCAGCCCCUUCCAAGUUCCAUGCUUUGCUCCACUGAACCAGAUAGAAAGGGCGGAAAUCCUGCCCCCUGUAUCUCAAAAUCUCUCUUAGAAAUCACUAAACUCACCAAGCCUACCACACUACCAAGGUAAGAAACUCGCUUUUAUACAUUUCUAGUGAACUUAUCAUACUUUAGCCUUUCUUUUUGUUUGUUAACUCUCUAGCUAUCACCGCUCUUCAUUUCUCAUCAAAAUAACCAUGACCCAUUUUGGCAAAUUUAAGAUUUUCAAUUGGGUUUCUUCCAAUUUUGUUGGUAGCAACAAAACCCCGUUGUCCUCAAUGAUGUCAUUAUUCAACAUUGCAGAAAGCCCUAUGUUCUAUAGGACCAAGAGGAUAGUUCAAGCUGAAAAUGGACAAAGCAUAAACCCAGUUUCUAGGAUAGCAGCCCAAACUGCGUUAUUAGAGUAUCUGUACGUCACUAGAAACAUACAGUUUACGGAUGCAGAUAAUAUGAGUAAAAAUUCACCUCAUUUUCUUGAAAAGUUAUUAGCAAAGGUUGAUAUUGAUGCAGAUAUCGGGCAUUCCAUUACCCGUUUCUUGUGUUUUCACCCUAUUAAUGAAUUUGAGCCUUUCUUUGAGAGUUUGGGUCUAAAACCUCGUGAUUAUAAUCCUCUUCUUCCACGUGAUCUGAUGUUUUUAUGUGACGAUGAUUUACUUUUAGAGAAUUAUCAUGUUUUGUGUAAUUAUGGGAUUGCAAGAAGUAAGAUAGGAAAGAUUUAUAAGGAAGCCACGGAAGUUUUCGGGUAUGAUUAUGGGGUCUUGGUGCUGAAACUAAAAGCUUAUGAGGAAUUGGGGCUUGUUCAGUCUUUUAUGAUGAAGUUGGUUGUUUGUAGCCCUUAUCUUUUGAUUGGAGAGGUGAAUGCAGACUUUAUCAAGGUAUUAGAGAUAUUGAGAAAAGAGGGAGUUGAUAUCAGUGGGAUAGAGGAGCAUUUGUCCGAGAAGAGUUCUUAUGACUGGAGCAAGUUGCUUGCACUGCUCAACUUAUUUAGGCAUGCAGGUUACAAUGAGAAGCAGCUAGGUGGACUCAUAAGCCAGCAUCUGGCAAUUUUCUUUGAGGAUUCAGUGGAUAGGAUAUAUUUGCUAAUCGGUUUCCUCCUCAAAUUUGGAUCCACGAUGAAUCAGAUAUGUUCUAUGUUUUUGUGGUUCCCGCAAAUGGAAUUUGAGGAAUUCUUUUCAAAUUUAAGGCAUUGCUUUCUGUUCUUGAAUGAGAUCCAGAUGGAGGCACAUGAGAUUCAGAGUAUUUUCCGUUCUCACCCACUAAUGCUUGGUUCAUGUAGAUUGAAGAAACCCAACACAUUGCGUUUAGCCUUGCAUGCUGCAGAGAAGAGAAUGUGUGAAGUCAUCCAAGAGAGCCCACAAGUUUUGAAGAAAUGGGUGAUGGGAUCAAAAGUUAAACGAUUGCCAAACUUGAGACUUAAAUCACGGAAGCUGAAGAC
rnacentral:lncRNA from 1 species